UUCGCAAUGCCCGAAAGGGUGACGAAGCGACGCCGCGUGCGGGAAGAAGGCCUUCGGGUUGUAAACCGCUGUCGGGAGUUAAGAAGUGCAAGGGUGCUAAUAGCAUCUUUGCUUGACUAAGGCUCCGGAGGAAACCACGGCUAACUCUGUGCCAGCAGCCGCGGUAAUACAGAGGCGGCAAGCGUUGUUCGGAAUUAUUGGGCGUAAAGAGCACGUAGGCGGCCGUGCAAGUCGGUUGUGAAAGCCUUCCGCUCAACGGAAGAACGGCAUCCGAUACUGCAUGGCUCGAGUGCGGGAGGGGAGAGUGGAACUUCUGGUGGAGCGGUGAAAUGCGUAGAUAUCAGAAGGAACACCGGCGGCGAAAGCGACUCUCUGGCCCGUAACUGACGCUGAGUGUGCGAAAGCUAGGGGAGCAAACGGGAUUAGAUACCCCGGUAGUCCUAGCCGUAAACGAUGGGCACUAAGUAGAGGGGUUUUA
rnacentral:rRNA from 1 species